ACUUAGAUAUUAUAAUGGUUAUUAUUCUGGAUUGCAAAUCCAUGAGAUGAGAGUUCAAUUCUCUCUCUAAGCU